GUCUCAAGAUUAAGCCAUGCAUGUCUAAGUAUAAGCACUUGUACUGUGAAACUGCGAAUGGCUCAUUAAAUCAGUUAUCGUUUAUUUGAUUGUACCUUACUACAUGGAUACCUGUGGUAAUUCUAGAGCUAAUACAUGCGAAAAGUCCCAACUUCUGGAAGGGAUGUAUUUAUUAGAUUAAAAACCAAUGCAAGUCUUCGGGCUCGUUUUCUUGGUGAUUCAUGAUAACUUUUCGAAUCGCAUGGCCUAGAGCCGGCGAUACUUCAUUCAAAUUUCUGCCCUAUCAACUGUCGAUGGUAAGGUAGUGGCUUACCAUGGUUAUAACGGGUGACGGAGAAUUAGGGUUCGAUUCCGGAGAGGGAGCCUGAGAAACGGCUACCACAUCUAAGGAAGGCAGCAGGCUCGAAAAUUACCCAAUCCCGACUCGGGGAGGUAGUGACAAGAAAUAACGAUACGGGGUCUUAAUAGGUCUCGCAAUUGGAAUGAGUACAAUUUAAAUCCUUUAACGAGGAUCAAUUGGAGGGCAAGUCUGGUGCCAGCAGCCGCGGUAAUUCCAGCUCCAAUAGCGUAUAUUAAAGUUGUUGCAGUUAAAAAGCUCGUAGUUGGAUUUCGGAGUGGGCCAGUUGGUCCGCCGCAAGGUGUGUUACUGACUGGUUUGCUCUUCUUCGCAAAGACUGCGUGUGCUCUUGAGUGAGUGUGCGUAGAAUUUACGACGUUUACUUUGAAAAAAUUAGAGUGUUCAAAGCAGGCUAUUGCUUGAAUACAUGAGCAUGGAAUAAUGGAAUAGGACUUUGGUCCCAUUUUGUUGGUUUCUAGGGCCGAAGUAAUGAUUAAGAGGGACAAUUGGGGGCAUCCGUAUUUCGUUGUCAGAGGUGAAAUUCUUGGAUUUACGAAAGACGAACAACUGCGAAAGCACUUGCCAAGAGUGUCUUCAUUAAUCAAGAACGAAAGUUAGAGGAUCGAAGACGAUCAGAUACCGUCCUAGUUCUAACCAUAAACGAUGUCGACUAGGGAUCAGCGGGCGUUAUCGUACGACCCCGUUGGCACCUU
rnacentral:rRNA from 1 species